GCUGGGCACAGUGGUGCACGUCUAUAAUCCCAGCGGCUCGGGAGGCUGAGGCAGGAGGAUCAUGAGUUUAAAGCCAGCCUCAGCAAAGAUGAGGUGUUAAGCAACUCAGUGAGACCCUGUCUCUA
rnacentral:sRNA from 1 species